AACGAACGCUGGCGGCAGGCUUUACACAUGCAAGUCGAGCGCCCCGCAAGGAGAGCGGCAGACGGGUGAGUAACGCGUGGGAACCUACCCAUCUCUACGGAAUAACGCUGGGAAACGUGUGCUAAUACCGAAAACGUCCUACGGGAGAAAGCUUUAUCGGAGAUGGAUGAGCCCGCGUUGGAUUAGCUAGUUGGUGGGGUAAAGGCCUACCAAGGCGACGAUCCAUAGCUGGUCUGAGAGGAUGAUCAGCCACACUGGGACUGAGACACGGCCCAGACUCCUACGGGAGGCAGCAGUGGGGAAUAUUGGACAAUGGGCGCAAGCCUGAUCCAGCCAUGCCGCGUGAGUGAUGAAGGCCCUAGGGUUGUAAAGCUCUUUCACCGGUGAAGAUAAUGACGGUAACCGGAGAAGAAGCCCCGGCUAACUUCGUGCCAGCCGCCGCGGUAACAC
rnacentral:rRNA from 1 species